rnacentral:rRNA from 1 species
AGUGAACGCUGGCGGUAGGCCUAACACAUGCAAGUCGAACGGCAGCACAGUAAGAGCUUGCUCUUACGGGUGGCGAGUGGCGGACGGGUGAGGAAUACAUCGGAAUCUACUUUUUCGUGGGGGAUAACGUAGGGAAACUUACGCUAAUACCGCAUACGACCUACGGGUGAAAGCAGGGGAUCUUCGGACCUUGCGCGAUUGAAUGAGCCGAUGUCGGAUUAGCUAGUUGGCGGGGUAAAGGCCCACCAAGGCGACGAUCCGUAGCUGGUCUGAGAGGAUGAUCGGCCACACUGGAACUGAGACACGGUCCAGACUCCUACGGGAGGCAGCAGUGGGGAAUAUUGGACAAUGGGCGCAAGCCUGGUCCAGCCAUACCACGUGGGUGAAGAAGGCCUUCGGGUUGUAAAGCCCUUUUGUUGGGAAAGAAAAGCAGCAGGUUAAUACCCCGCUGUUCUGACGGUACCCAAAGAAUAAGCACCGGCUAACUUCGUG